rnacentral:rRNA from 1 species
UACGGAGGGGGCUAGCGUUGUUCGGAAUUACUGGGCGUAAAGCGCACGUAGGCGGCUUUGUAAGUUAGAGGUGAAAGCCCAGGGCUUAACCCUGGAAUUGCCUUUGAGACUGCAUCGCUAGAAUUGUGGAGAGGUAAGUGGAAUUCCGAGUGUAGAGGUGAAAUUCGUAGAUAUUCGGAAGAACACCAGUGGCGAAGGCGACUUACUGGACACAUAUUGACGCUGAGGUGCGAAAGCGUGGGGAGCAAACAGG